rnacentral:misc_RNA from 1 species
AAGCAAAGAUGGCGGCAAUGGCGGCGAUGUUGUAGUUUUUUUGCCGCUAAGUGAUGUAUGGUUCAUUUAGUUUUAACGUAGUUUAUAAUGCAUUCUGAACUGGCUGAAGUUCUUCCCAGCAUGGGUCUUGGCACCCAAUUGAAGGGCUCUGAAGUUGUGAAAAAGGGUAUUCUUCAAGAGGAAGAUCCUCUAUUGGUGGAAAAAUCAACACUGCCUACUGGUGUGUUUGCUGUUCAUGUUUAUGGCUGUCAAAACCUAUAUCUGGAUGCAAACUUUCCUCCUGAACACUUUGGAAUUUAUGUUCAAAUAACAGUUGGCUCAAUGACAAAAUGUACGUCACUACAGUCACCCUUCAAAAAGGGCCGUGUUGUCUGGGAUGAGAUCAAGAACUUCUCCCUCACUAUUUCUCCUAAAGUGACUAGCUCCGUAAACAAAGUUACAGUUGCUGUUGUGGGAUUUGACAAACUUCAGCCAAUCCCAAAACACAAACUGCUUGGCAAAACUGAGUUUCACUUGCACAAGUUAGCUAAGAAACAAUGGUCUAUGGAGACAUUUGAGCUUCAGAACAGAAAGAAGCAGUAUGCUGGAGAUCUCCAGCUAGAGAUUGCUUUUGCAUAUGGCAUAUAUGGUUAUGGCUUGUGUGAUCAGGAUUGUGUAUGUACCCAAGAAGGUACCACACCCAAAUAUCAUCACUUUCAAAGAGAAAAUAACCAACUUGGAACCAGAAUUCAGCCCAUACUACUCUAAAAAGAACUUUACAUCAAUUGACAGCAAAUCAAGACCUCAUCUUCAACAAAAGAUGUCAAGGUUAAAUCAGCUGUAUUCUGAU